CUGGCCUGUGCCACAUCCCACGUCCACUGCCAGGUGAAAGGAGGUCACCUUCUGAGGGAAGACAGCAGCACAUAUUGAGAAGCAUAGCAUCAAUUCACUUACAAGCUGCAAGGCACGGAUUCUUCGGUUUUCAAGGAUGCGUGUGUUUGGAGAGGAGGAUCCUUAGUGUUUUCAGUUUCACAAAAAGGAGCGGAGAAGACUCUUCAUGGCAAAGAAUUCUGGGGCUCAUCCAUUCUCAAGUUCAACCUCAAACUGGGAGAAGAAAUGGUAAGAUAGUCGUGGGAAGGAACUUGUGGGAUGAAAGCAUCCUUUUUUAAACUUCCCAAAUAUAGCCUUGUUAGCUGCCCUCUGUUCAUCCUGCUGUUGAUCGCUCUCCUCCUGCUUUUAGGGAUUUAAACUGCACAGAUUAAGCCAUCAUCCCUCCGAUGUUCCUGUGCGCACUCUCUCUCUCUCUCUCUCUGCAAGGGCAUAUCUAAUAAAAAGAUGAGAGGCUGUUCAAAAAUUCACUUUAAUAAGCAGUGCGGUGGGUCUCUGAACAGUCGUCUCCUGACGGAUGCACAUUUUACCUGGUACAUGAAAUUGCUGUUCAUCAUCACAGUGGCAGAGGUCUGGGACAUGAUGUCCGCAGGUUUCAUGCAGGCAGCAUGGACUAAGGCGGUUACAGCGCUGAUUCCACAAAAUGCUCUUUGCUUGCUCAUGUACUCAUUUUAAAUCUUUUGUGGGGCCUACUUUGACAAAUGCUCUCAGAAGAGUUACGUUAAAAAUGCUCUUUAAACAACUAAAGAGCAUAAGACAAAACAUCCAGGAUUUGCCAGCCUCUGCACACACCUUGCUAGCUGGGCUAGCAAGGCGCAUUGUCUGGGGAGAUUCUCAAGAGCCACAUAGGGAUGGCUGGAGGGCCACAUUCAGAGAAU